rnacentral:rRNA from 1 species
ACUGCAACGGGUGCGUAACACGUGGGCACCUGCCCGAAAGUGGGGGAUAGUCCUCGCCGAAAGGCGAAUUUAAUACCGUCAUGUGGCUAGGAAUUUAUUUUUCCGACGCCAAAGCCGGGGCAACCUGGCGCUUUUGGAUGGGCCCGCGGCCUAUCAGCUAGUUGGUGAGGUAACGGCUCACCAAGGCUAUGACGGGUAGCUGGUCUGAGAGGACGACCAGUCACACUGGAACUGAGACACGGGUCCAGACACCAUACGGGUGGCAGCAGUCGAGAAUUUUUCUCAAUGGGGGAAACCCUGAAGGAGCGACGCCGCGUGGAGGAUGAAGGUCUUCGGAUCGUAAACUCCUGUCAUGAGGGAACAAACCUGCACGUUUAACUGAUGUGCAGCUGAUAGUACCUCAAGAGGAAGAGACGGCUAACUCUGUGCCAGCAGCCGCGGUAAUACAGAGGUCUCAAGCGUUGUUCGGAUUCAUUGGGCGUAAAGGGUGCGUAGGCGGCGAAGCAAGUCAGGU